UAGCAGGUGUGAGAGCACGACCUGCGCCACUGGCACUGUGACACUGGCCAGACUCCUACGGGAGGCUGCAGUCGAGGAUCUUCGGCAAUGGGCGCAAGCCUGACCGAGCGACGCCGCGUGUGCGAUGAAGGCCUUCGGGUUGUAAAGCACUGUCGAGGGGGAGGAAAGCCCGCAAGGGUUUGACCUAUCCCUGGAGGAAGCACGGGCUAAGUUCGUGCCAGCAGCCGCGGUAAGACGAACCGUGCAAACGUUGUUCGGAAUCACUGGGCUUAAAGGGCGCGUAGGCGGGUGGUCAAGUCAGGGGUGAAAUCCUCCAGCUCAACUGGAGAACAGCUUUUGAUACUGGCCAUCUUGAGGGGGGUAGGGGCAUGUGGAACUUCGGGUGGAGCGGUGAAAUGCGUAGAUAUCGGAAGGAACGCCGGUGGCGAAAGCGACGUGCUGGACCCUUUCUGACGCUGAGGCGCGAAAGCCAGGGGAGCAGACGGGAUUAGAUACCCCGGUAGUCCUGGCCCUAAACGAUGGGUACUAGAUUGUGGACUAAACAUGGGUUCACAGUCGAAGCAAAAGUGUUAAGUACCCCGCCUGGGGAGUAUGGUCGCAAGGCUG
rnacentral:rRNA from 1 species